UUUCUCUGGAAGUGUUCAGGAGUUGGGAUGUGGCCCUUGGGGUGAUGCUGGUGGUGCUGGCUGAUUUUGAAGGUCUCCCCAGCCCCUCCCUCUAAUGUCCUUUUUCUUUUCUUCAGACAUAAAAGAAAGAGAGGAAAACACAUUUAUCAGUCAUGCAAAGUGCAGCAGAAAGCUCAGGAGAAGGAAGGAGCUCUGAAGUUCAGAGAGCUUAGAAAAGUUGUGUUUUCCCCAUUCUUAGAAGUGUCCCUGAUGGUUCUCUGACUCUGUAAAUCCACAUUUGCAGGGAUCCUGUGAAGCUCCAGAGAGCGCACGGCACUGACCUGGAGAAGGGAGAGAAGGGAGAAGUGAGAGAAGGAAGAGAAGGAAGAGAAGGAUUUGCCUGGAGAAGGGAGAGAAGGGAGAGGAAGUGAGAGAAGGAAGAGAAGGAAGAUAAGGAUUUUCCUGGAGAAGGGACUCGGUGUUCUCCUCCUCAGCCCCAGCUUCCAGGUGGCCAUCCAUGACUCCCCCUCUGGCUCUCUGGUAACCACAGACGCUUCUUCCUCCCCUGGAAAGCAGAGGGUGAGAUUUUGGGAGGGGUUUUUGAUGUUUUGGUGGUGGCUGGAGAGAGCCAGGGUUCCCAUCAGGUGAGG
rnacentral:lncRNA from 1 species